GACGAACGCUGGCGGCGUGCCUAAUACAUGCAAGUCGAACGCAGUGGGGACGGGUGAGUUACACGUGUGUAACCUCCCAUUAGAGGGGAUAACACUUGGAACCUGGUGCUAAACCGAUACUGAUGGAUGGACCCGCGGUGCCUUAGCUAGUUGGUGAGGUACCGGCUCACCAAAGCGACGAUGCAUAGCAGACCUGUGAGGGGGUUGUGCCACACUGGGACUGAGAAACGGCCCAGACGCCUACGGUAGGCAGCAGUACGGAAUAUGCGGGAAUGGACGAAAGUCUGACCGAGGAAAGGCGCGUGAGUGAAGAAGGAUUUCGGAUCUUAAAACUCUGUUGUUAGAGAAGCGGUAUCUAUCCAGAAUGCCACGGCUAACUACGAGCUAGCAGCCGCGGUAAUAC
rnacentral:rRNA from 1 species